GGUUAGUUUGAGUGCAGUGGUGUUUACGACUAAUUGAUCACAACCAGUUACAGAAUCCUUUGUUCCUUCUCCACUCCCACUGCUUCACUUGACCAGCCUUAA
rnacentral:Y_RNA from 1 species